CAGAGCGGCCUCGCGCCGCGGCGGCCGGCGCGCCCCCUGCCGGUGGGCGGUGCGCACGGCAGCUCGGCCUGCUCUGAGUCAGAGACUCCGAAGGAGCCCGCUCUGAACCAGGGAAAGUACCCAAACCGCAGCUUGUGGAGAAGAAAGACAGCAUUUAUCCCAUCAGAGUCCGGGAGCAUUUUGCACUUUUCACGUCCCUUUUUCUAUAUACACAUCCCACCCCCUCAGCUACUGAGACGCUUCAAAGGCAAAGCCAGUUUUAUGGUGCUAUAGUUCACCAACUCCAGUUCUACAGCCAAGAUGACUUCCCCUGCACAGUGAGGGUCCCUCCUCUGAAUUCUAGCACCACUCACCCGGCCAAGCCACCCUCUAGAUGUCUCCUGCCCGUCUGGUCAAGGACCAUAUACUCUGCUCAGUCUGACAGUUUGUUCUUGCUUUCACUACAGAUGGGCCUGGCCUAAUGGCGUGUGAGAUGUGUGUGCAGAACACAGUUCUCACUUUAGCAUGUGGUUACAUCGGAAAGAAGACCACCCAAUGACAGCCUCUUUUCUGAUCCUAUCCUGGAGCAAGGUGUGUUGUGAUAUCACUAACUACAUGAAAAUCAGAAGAUGGAAAUCUGCAAGGAUUAUCUGCUUGAAAAAUUAAGAAAAAAUAAGAAGACUGUACCUGAAAAAGACAAUUUAACAUAUAUUGCUGCAGAAACAGAAGAAGAACGUCACAAACAAAUAAUGCUGAUUAUAUACCAGCACGCUUAGAUGCUUUCAGAAAAACUCAUCAAUAAAAAUCUCGCAAAGUAAAAGGAGCCUUUGAAGAAUUACUUUCUGUGUCAACUUGUACCCCCUUAUCCUUCGGGGGAUACCUUCCAAGAGCCACAGUGGAUGCCUGAAACCACAAAUAGUACCAAACUCUAUCGAUACUAUGUUUUUUCCUCUAUAUACACAACUUCGAUAAAGUCCAACUUAUCAAUCAGGCAGUACCCACAUCCAGGCUUUCUCCUGGCCACCAACUGUUCACAGAACACACCACACCAGCAAGGACUCAUCAGCGUGGGCACGAAGAACUACACACCUUUUCUCUCCUGAACUCCACGUGGUGUCAGAGCCCCGUAAGGACGGUUAUCACAGGGCAGCGUGUCAGAGAGAAGGCACGGCUGAACAGGACUCGUGGUGAAAAGGAGAAGCUUAUGUAAAUGUAACAUCAUAUAUGAAGAAGAGAGAGAGAGAGAGAAGAAAGGAAACAGGUUGGGGAAAUCCAGUUGGCCCCUUGGACAUCACCAGGCACAUCUGCAUUUAGAAAAUCAGAAGGCCUUGGCCGGGCUAUGGCCUGCCCCUCCUCCCACUCUGCUGCUCGAGAACUGACUGAGGGAUGUUCUGAAAGACCUCCUGGAAAGAAGUUUCUGGCUGGGCCUCCCUCCCAGAAGUGUCAGGCUGGGCCUGGGAAGCACCAGUCUCUGAGGAUGCUGAGGACAAGCAUGCUGCUUCCUCUCAUGUCCACUGCUUUCCCUGCGACCUUCCCCGAGUCUCUGGUCUCCAGCUGCAAGCAUGUGGCGAGAUGUCCCCAAAGGCCUUCUGGACUCAAGUAUC